AUUGAACGCUGGCAGCAUGCCUUACACAUGCAAGUCGAACGGCAGCACGGGAGCAAUCCUGGUGGCGAGUGGCGAACGGGUGAGUAAUAUAUCGGAACGUGCCCAGUCGUGGGGGAUAACGUAGCGAAAGCUACGCUAAUACCGCAUACGAUCUAUGGAUGAAAGCGGGGGAUCGCAAGACCUCGCGCGAUUGGAGCGGCCGAUAUCAGAUAGGUAGUUGGUGAGGUAAAGGCUCACCAAGCCGACGAUCUGUAGCUGGUCUGAGAGGACGACCAGCCACACUGGGACUGAGACACGGCCCAGACUCCUACGGGAGGCAGCAGUGGGGAAUUUUGGACAAUGGGCGCAAGCCUGAUCCAGCAAUGCCGCGUGCAGGAUGAAGGCCUUCGGGAUGUAAACUGCUUUUGUACGGAACGAAACGGUGAGCUCUAAUACAGUUUGCUAAUGACGGUACCGUAAGAAUAAGCACCGGCUAACUACGUGCCAGCCGCCGCCGUAA
rnacentral:rRNA from 1 species